CUGCAAUGAUGACUAUCUUAGGACACCUUUGGAUAAAAACAUGAAAAUAUCUUUAAUUUCUGAGCAGC